rnacentral:lncRNA from 1 species
UUUGAGGUACGCGUCUAUCCGUUCGUCCCUGGCUUCAUACUCUCCGAUGUACUGACUUGCCACUAACUGGGAGUCGCAGUAAGCGUGGAUGUUUCGUAUCUUCAAGUCGUGAGCCAAACACAGUCCUGCGACGAGUGCUUCGUAUUCAGCUUCGUUGUUUGAGGCGUGGAAUUCAAGCCUGAAUGAUUGCUCUAAGAUCUCGCUCGUUGGAGAUGUGAGGCGAAUUUCGAUGCCUGAUCCCUGCUUGGACGAGGAUCCGUCGACGUGAAGGAG